UAUAGUUUAUAAUGAUCCACAUUUAAAAAUACAUCUCUUCUGAGAAAUAUUGACCGUGUCUAUAAAAACUCUUUGCUAACGAUAGAAAUUAAGUUAAUCGCUCUCUUGCGCGUUCUAUUUUCGUAAUUUUCUAAACAGGCAUUUUUAAUUUUUUUUUAAAUAUAUCGAUGAUUGCGAUACAUUUCAAAAUUAAUGUAACAAAUGUGCUUGCUGCUUCGAAAUUCAUAACUUCGUGCAUGUUAAUACAAUUUCGAAAUUCGAAUUCAAUUAAUCAGGGCUUACAAUUAUAUAUCUGGAGACCUGUCAAAGACAAUCCUUGAGACAACCAGCUGGUGGCGCAUCACGAUUUCUUCGACCGGAUAUUGAGCCCAUUGUACCUCGUUGCACCAGUUGUGUUUGUGGCCGUGACAGACUUAGAUAAUUAGAAUUGCAGCGUAUCCAGCCCGCGCGAGCGCGGCAGAAACAAAGAAUUGCACCGCGAUUCUUUGACGGUUCGCUCGCGCUCUUGCAUCUGGAAGCAGCUGUAACCGCAUAAACAUACUCCUUCCCGCAACUUAUUACGUCUCGUAAAAUAUCGCGGCUGGCGAGCGAGCCAGUGCAUGGGAUCUUAUUGAGAUUAUAACAGGCAAUAGGCAAUCGAUCAUUCUUGUCACUCGCGCGGCGUUUUCCGUUUGCAAAUUUGACUAGAGAAAUCGAGAGAGUAACAGAGUAUUACAAUUAAAUCAUCUACGGCCUACGGAAACAACUGCAAGCCAACAAACAACAUUUUACAACAAGAAGCUGAAGGUGAUCGACAUUCUUUCUCAGGAGAAACACAAUAUAGAGUAACGCCGAUACUAUAAAAUCGUCUUUUUUUAUGUCGAAUUUAUGACAUCGCGCAGAUUUAUGCCAAUUGAUUCGCAAUGCGAACAUUGUAAUUGCUUCUUAUUAUUACGCUUCCGUGACGGCUGAAAGUUUUAAUAAGGCAAUAAAGCGCUCUGUAAUGUCACUUCUGCGUAUUAUCUUUAGACAAUGAUCUCAGCUAAAGCUGGGCCACUUCUUCGUUCCCAUCUGAAAUCGGAUAAUUAUAAUUAUUUUACUGUACGUUCAAUCGAUACGACAUUUAACGCUUAAUUGCAACUUAACUCUCUAACUCCAAAUAACUGAUAAUCGCUACGUAAUGCACGCGAGGCGCGAGAAGUUUGUUAAUUUGUCGAGAACCCGUUACAGAUUUGCAAUUACGUGUUCUCGAGAAACAAACUUUGAUGACGUGAACAUUGAAUUAAAUAAUAAAUGGAUGCAAGUAACAUUCAUUUACUAGAAAUUGCAAAUAUCACAUUAUUUGCAUUACAUUUAUAUAUAUAAUCAAUACAUUAAUAAACAAUGUUAAUUGCGGUAAUGUAAGUAAUAUGUUAAAAUCACGAUAUCUAAUUAUCAUGUAUUUAAUUAUUUGCAUUAUAUACAUGUACAUACAACUAUUAUAGAUAUUCACCUCUUUACUCAUACCACUUACACUUACCUUUAUUGAUUAACAAUUCGUUGAAUAAAUAUAUGAUGCACGAAGCUGUUUCUCUCGCAAUGCGAAUGUAUUUCACAGAUGUAUUUUAUUUUCGUUAGACAUUGGCGAAUAUUUGGCAUUUUUCAUGUUGUUUGAAACAAUUUAUUUUUCAAGUCGUGCAAUCCCGCGCAGUGUUCCUUUCCUUACGAUUCUAAUUAACAGCACGUGCAUGCGUGCGUGCAUGCGUGCGUGCGUACGUGCGUGCGUGCAUGCGUACCAAUGUGCAUCCGGAUUUUUUGCAAGCAUAAAAGUCCCGAGCGUGUACAUACGUCGUACGUACACGGCAAUCUGCAACACUUUUAUUAGUGCAUUGCGUUAUGUCGUAAAUAUUCCCAAUAUAAGCCACGUUAAUUCAUGCAUAUUGAAUAUUCCUAUUGUUAAUGAUGGCAUCUAUUUUUAGAAUAAAUAAAAUAUUGCCGAGUAACAGCGCAAUAUUAUAUACGUGCCUGAAUAUUAUACAUAAUCCAGUUGCAAAUUUUCUUCAUAAUCAGUAAGAUUUUCACAUAAUGAUUAUUUUGUUACACUAACAGAAAUGUAAGUUACAUAAUCGAAAACAGCAUUGUUCUGUUAUAAAAUGUACUCAAAAACUCGCGUAUUUUAAUUUGCGUUAUAAUUUGCUGAUUGAAGUAUUUUCUUACCUUUAUAUUUCCGCGUAUCCUCGAGACGCUUACAAAGGAAUGGCUAUCAAUAUCAUGUGAAACUCACAGUCGUUGCACGAGAGAUUUCGACAGAGCGCUCGACUUCGUCGCGCUUUCUCGCACUCGCUCAUAAAAAAAACCGUUUUAUCUGUUUUCUUCCUUCACGCCUGAUGAAGACAAGCUACGGGAAAUUAAAAUUAAAAGUUAAUAAAAUUAAACUUGAGAGGAGGCCAACAAACGGCUUUUUAAUACUCAAUAAUAUUUUUUUUGUAUAAUUUUAUAUACAUUUUCAAGUUCUUUUAAACUACGCGCCGUUACUUUAAAUUUUGGGACGCAGUUCUUAAAUUGAACCGAAAUAUAGUAAUGAUAUCAAUUUAAUAUUUUGAUAUCAUCUUUGGUCCAACAAUUAUAAUACUUUCAGAUGUGUAUCUAAUUAAAUUUUUAGACAUUUUCAACAAAACUCUCUUAUGUAUCUAUGAUAACAUCUAUAAUAUAAAUUGGCUAUUUAACAUUCUUAUUGAAAAAAAGAACACGGGUUCCAAGUUCAUCGAAUAAUCCUACAGUACAGUGUAAAUACGACAGUUUCGAUACAUGUUAAACAAAAUCGACCAUAUUACAAGUUCAAACAGACUCUCUGGGAGAAGCAAACAGAAUUAAAGUUACGAAUCGUGCUCUUCGACAUUUGGCAUUGACAGUACUGCCCUAUUCCUUCGGAUUCGCCGGAGAGAAGAGUCGUUUCACGUUCUCGUCGAUGAGAUUAGGUAUCUUUCAGCGGGCUAGGUCAAAUUCUCAAAAUGGGGAAAAUACUGGCGCGUGUCUUUCGCCGGUACGGAAGUGGGUCGCGACCUAGCUACUAACGUGACCUGCGCCAAUUCGCAAUCCUCUCACAGAGGAUGUACCCACGCAGCCUUGAUAAAUUCGGUUAGACGCCGUAGCCUCUUCGCAUGUGGAUUCGCGUCGAAGCGAAUGUCGACUACAAUAUUUCGCGCAGUAACAAUGGAAACGUGGAACAUGAUACGAUACAAUGAAAACGUGUCUUGUAUUUCUUUUUACUUUUAUACGUUUGAUAAAGAAGACGUCUCUUCAAUCUCUUUCACUCUACUUAUCCCUCGCAAAUGAGAGUGUGAAGUAUUCAAGGAAAAGUCUUUCAAAUAAAACGAUAUAGUUUUCCUUCUAAGAGAAAGAAAUAUCUUAUUCAAUUUAAAAGCAUAUUUAUAUUUAAAAAAAAAAAAAAAA
rnacentral:lncRNA from 13 species